rnacentral:rRNA from 1 species
CCUACGGGUGGCUGCAGUGGGGAAUAUUGGACAAUGGGCGAAAGCCUGAUCCAGCCAUGCCGCGUGUGUGAAGAAGGCCUUCGGGUUGUAAAGCACUUUCAGUGGGGAAGAAAGCCUUGGGGCUAAUACCCUCGAGGAAGGACAUCACCCACAGAAGAAGCACUGGCUAACUCCGUGCCAGCAGCCGCGGUAAUACGGAGGGUGCGAGCGUUAAUCGGAAUUACUGGGCGUAAAGCGCGCGUAGGCGGUCUGAUAAGCCGGUUGUGAAAGCCCCGGGCUCAACCUGGGAACGGCAUCCGGAACUGUCAGGCUAGAGUGCAGGAGAGGAAGGUAGAAUUCCCGGUGUAGCGGUGAAAUGCGUAGAGAUCGGGAGGAAUACCAGUGGCGAAGGCGGCCUUCUGGACUGACACUGACGCUGAGGUGCGAAAGCGUGGGUAGCAAACAGGAUUAGAUACCCGGGUAGUC